CGCCGCCAGCUCCGCGCUCCGCCACUGCCCCGGCGGGCGAGCGGGCGGGACUCGGACCCGCCGCUCUCGGUCCCGCGCAGAGCCGCGGGGAGCAGCGCACCGGGCACAGGGGAGGCAGCGCGGGGUCAGCCGUCCGAACACCGGGGGCCCCGCACUUCGCCGCCCUGGGGGCGGGCCCACGCACUCCUGCCUCCGGGGCCCCCAGCACCAGGGUUCUGCCGGGCUGCAGGACUCGGAGCUGCCGCUGAGUCAACCUGAGCUGGAGAGGGUCGUGUUCGCGGUGCGGAGUCUCUGCAGCCCCGGCUGGGCUCCUGGCCAUGCCCCCGCCCCCCCCCCCCCCCCCAGGCCCCUUUGUUGUGCAGUGAGACCGGUAGCGCCUCCGCCGGAACCUUCAUUCGAACCCCGCGCCCUUGCCACAAAAGAGGUGAACCGGCCAGGGCCGAGGAGCCAACCCCGACACCGCAGGGUCCUAGCAGAGGCACCCCCGAUGGCGAGGGGCGCACGGCCAACGCCAUCCCCGAAGAGAAGCCGGGAGGAGCCGGGCUCGGCAGGCAGGAGCCGGCGGCGGCGGUGCGCUGGGCCUUCCGCCUUCGCGCCUCCGCAUUCUGCAGCCGCUUCCCCGCUGGGAUUCGAACCCGGACAGAGCCCCCACUGCUCGGGGCGACAAGUCUCGCGUUCCUCUCGCCUCCCCACAGAGAAGGUGCUCUCUGCCGGCUCUGAUUCUCACUGACCGCUGCCUCUGCUGUUUCCGGCCCUAGGAGGGGUCCGGAGGAGCAGCCCAGGAGCCACACCCCCAGGCGCUGCAGCAGCGGAGGCCAGCCAGCGCGAUCAGCUCGAGGAGUGUAAGCAGACUGUCCCCAAGGCCAUGGCCCUGGCCGAGGUUGGGUCCUGGCCCGGCCAGGCCCUGCCCCCGCGUGGCCAGACUUAGAACAAAUUGGAGAGCAGGUCAGGCAUUGUGGAGUCCCAAGGAGAGAGUGAAUGAGCAAGGACAAUCAGACUGCCGUCCUCCUGGGCACCCAGCCCCGUGUCCUGCCCCACAGACAUUUGGGGACUCUGGAGUGGAGACUGUCAGAGGCUGGUGAGGUGCGGGUUGGCUGCGUGGACGUGCCCUACACUCUAUCGAGUUUUGGAACUGAGUUCAUUGCUGCAAUCUAGGGGGCCGAGAAAAAGGACUUUUACCACCAACUUCCGCUGCAUUCUGGAGCCCCGAUUCAGCCCCCGGAGCUCUGCCCUCUCCCAGCCUUUCCACCAAGCAGAGAGAGGCAGCCGGAGACCCAUGAUCAGAUGAACUCUUUUGGGAGUGGGCGGGUUUGGGAGAGCGAGCAAAGCUGGUCCUACAGUGCUGUAAGAAGCAUUGUGUGGGGUGAGCAGGGAGGGGUCCCCGACUCCGAGGCUCCCCGAGAAGCCACGAGCAGUAAAACCACACUGGGUCUCAUGGUGCUCUCCUGAGUCCACUCACUCCAGGGCUGAAGGGUCCCUUUGCUCAGCCAGGACCGGUGCCCCAUGCCACCUCUCAGAGGCCAGGCCUCCGGAGAGGAGGUCUGUGUGCCUGGAGUGCAGGGUCCGAGCUGCCAAGCCGCCCUGCCCAGGCCCUCAGGUGCCAGGCAGCCUGGCUUCGGACUGCCCAAUGGGAGGUGGGAACGCGCUGGUGAUGGAUGGCCACAUGCGCCAACCUGGCCAGGUUCUCUGCUCGGCUCUGAGCUCCUUAAACUUGGCCAAGGGCUUUCAGGCACCCAGUGUCUGGGCUCCAUCAGAUUCCAUGUCGAGCUUUGCUCACCCUCUGGUUCCUGCUCAGAAAAACUCUGAAUAGUUAAGAGAAAAAAAGCAAGUCUCCUUUAAUUUACAUAUGGGCUUUCCUCUGAGAUCCGGAACUGUCCCCCGGAGGUUCCAGACCAUCAUCCCACCCUCAACUGGGGCCACUGAAUCAGAUGGAGCCGGGGGUCUCCCUCCCUGGGCACAUUCUCCUGCCCUACUCUAGAUGGACAUGACUCCCAGGUUUGAGUGACAGAAAGCUGAAGACUAUGAGGGAUGCUUGGGGACAAGCCAGUUUGGUUCCCACCACACAGAGGAAAAAACGGAGGUGGUCUUGGCGCCAGUAGGGCCUGAAUGAAGAGGGCUUCCAGCCCGGGGCAAAGAGCUAGCUUGAGCAUUUGGUCUAGAAUGGGGGUGGUUGGGGCACAGAAAAUCUACUACACAACCUACACAAUGGCCCUACAGGGGCCAUUUCCUCCCCAUGGAGCCUCCACACUGGCCCACAGCUGGCGCUUCCCCCAGCACGGAGCCUCAGCUCCAGACUGGGGCCGCAGGAGCCUCCCUGGACUCUGGAGUUACUAUUUCAGGCCCCUUUUUGCCCCUCUUCUUACCCAACGCCCAGGGAAGCUCACUGUGACCCAGGUAACUUUAGAGGACAGAAGAACACACAUCCCAACUUCUGGCCAGGGAGUUCAGAGCCAGCCGUGUGGCAUGGCUGCUCCCUGUGCUGUCAGAGUGGAGGCCUCCUGGCGCCAGCCCCGGUCCCUGGUUUUGGAGUGGGUCCCCGAGAGGGUUGGGGACGCUCCCAACCAAGACUUCCCAGGAAUGUGAACCAUGUAGCCGAUUUUGAACAAAGCCCAGAUGUUUGGAAAUCUACUUCCUUCACGGGCAGGAGGACGUUGUCCCUUGCAGACCGGCAGCCCCCUGGGAGGCCCCGGAGAGCUUUCUCUGCCUGUUUACACCCUGGAGUCCUGGCUGAGGGGACCAUCUCUCAGAAGCUCAGAUGCAUCUCCUCUCCACACCUAUGGUCUGCCACGUGCAUUAGGGGAGAAAUUGGGUUUUGUUUUGUUUGUUUGUUUGUUUUUAAUUUAAGAGAUUGAGGCUGUGGACCUGAAUUCCCCUUUUGAGCCCAGGAGGGAGUUGGCCCCAGGAUCCUGGCCCAAACCCUCUCUAAGAAGUGCAGGGAGCCUGGAACGACUCCUUCCCCAGCGCGGGGCGCACUGUCGGGGAGGACCAAGCCCAGGGCUCCUGCAACUGCUCGAGACCCCGGCUGCUGCCGCGGGGGAGCGAUAAACGGAAUCGGUUUCCCACGCUUUCCCUCUCCGUCCCAGAACCUUUAAAAAUCCGCCGACGAUUCCGGUUGUCCGGUUUGCGCUGAGUCUGAGCCCUGAGCUCAUGCUGCCCCCCGAGUCGCCAGCAACGCCUGGAGCGGGGGACCCUCGGGCCGCCCGCGCGCACGCGGGGAGCAACUUCGUUCCCGCGACCGCCCUGCGGAGCCGGCAGAGCUUCGCGCGGCCGAGGUGGUCCUGUGGCUCCUCCGGAACACGGCCGGCGUGGACGCGGCUAUCGUUUCUUGCUCCGGGUUCCGGCCGCGCGCAGACACGGCCCUGGCAACAACGAAAACGGCGAGCCGCGUCGCUUUCCCGGCGGCUGAGUCCCGGGAGCCGCCGGGUGGGAGCCCGCCCCCGCGUCCCCAAACACCUCAGACCCGAGGACACUGGCCGGCCGCCUGUAAUCGAGGCCUCGAGGCGGCGGUGGAGACACGGCUCCCUGAGCCGGCAAGAAAAGGGCAGAGAGCAGGACCGCCCACGGCAGGGAAAAAAUUGCCUCUUCUGCUGAGCGACCGGAAAGGUGAUGGAAUCACGUCCUGGGGGCAGCGCCACCCGCUCUUGCCCCAGGCGCCCGGUGCCAGGGCCGCAGGGCUCUCGGAAGGGAACAGGGCCGCUCUCUUGGCUCCUCUGCCAGCUGUCCAGCUUCGCCACCUGUGGGAGCCGGAGGGGAUGAGGUGCCCUCCCAUCACUCCCUCUGCAUCCUAGACUGAGGUCCCCCAAUGAAGGAACGGUGGUCCAAGUGGCAGGGACACACUUGCACAAGGCCCGGCGCCCCCUGCAGCCCAGGCAGGUCAAGGGACCUCACUGAGGACCAACUGUGUGCCAGGCCUGGGGGCUAGGGUGAAGAUGGCCUGGCCCCAGCCGUGAGCAGCCCCUCACUCGUGGGGCACCCCCCCCCCCAGGAUAUCAGUGGAACUAUGAGGGGAGUCUGUGCUGGGCCCUGCACAUGCACGUGCACACAUGGCGCUGCCCCUGGCCCCCUUAUGUGUCUGAGCUGUGAGCCCCGCCCUCCCAGGGCAUCAGAGCCAGCUUCUUCCCCUCUCCCUCUGGGACCCUGGGUCAGCCCCCUCAGCGUCCCUGGUGCCUCAGUUUCCUAAUGCACAGUAUGGGGGCAGAAAAGCCAGGGGAUACCAUGGGGACAGCCACCUGCAGCUGUGGGGCCUGAUGCCUCCCGGGGGCUCUGCGGCUGUGGUACAAGGACUGCCAGCUCACAGGGGCCCCUGUGCCCUCUGACCCCUCAAUUCCCAGAACUGGGGCUCUGAGUUGGCGUCGUGGGGGGCAGCUACCCCCUCCCUGACUGAACAGAGGGCAAGUGGGGCCGGGGCUGAAGACAGAGCUCCCGGGGGCUGUGGGGUCUGCUUGCUUAAGCAGGUCUUAGGGAGCUCCUAGAGCCAGGCCCCAUCGUCCUGACCUUGGCCUGCCCUGCUCUCACCUCGUCAGAGUGGAGGCUGUCUGAGGGUGAGCUGGUCUCCUGGGACCUGCAGUCAGCGCUUCUCACAGGUCCACUGCCUGCCCUCUGGGAGGCCAAGGCUCUUGGAUCCUGCCAUGGGCCUAGCAUUCAUUCAUUCAUCCAUUGACAUAUAGCCAGAGGCCCCUGGAAGGCCAAGUGCAGCCAGAACUUACUGCCCUACAGUGCAGGUCAAAUGGGAGGGCUGUCUCUUCCACCAGACCUGGAGCUUCCAGAGCAUCUCAGGCCCCUCCAAAGCUGCGGUGCCCAGCCCGAGCCUGGGCUCGUGCUUGAAGUUCAGUGAGUGAAUGAAUGAGUCAUGAAUGAAUGAACGAAUGAAGGAUGCUCAGUGAGUAGAAAGUGAUCCUCUGAUCUCCGCAGCCUGAUUUCAGCCCAGGGGAAGACGAGACCCUGAGGACAUGGCAGUGGAGGCAGCAGCUCCGUGCUGCGUGUCCGAGGCUGAGUGACCUGUCCUUCACCUGUCUCGCCAGCGCCAGCCCCUGUGAUGGGGACGCAGCAGUGAGCAAGCCGCCUGGGUCCCCUGCUGCACUGGGCACAGUUUGGAAAAGGAAGCCAGUUUGGCCAGGGGGCCUCAGCAGGAGGGUGGGGACAGGGGACAGUCGGAGAAAGAGCAUCCUUGGGAGAAACUCCGUCUAUCUAUGGGGUUCCCUGGCCUGGAGUGGUCGAGCCUGGUUGUGCUGGGGCUCCUGUGCCAGGCAGGGUACUGACCAGUGCCCAGCUUGCCUCCCACCCCCGGGUUGCUUCACAGUGCCAUGUGACCCUCCCGACAAUCCCAUGUGGUAGGAACUGCAAUUGUUCCCACCUUACACAUGGGGAAACUGGUGCUCAGAGGUGCAAGGACAUGUCCUAGAGGCUACACGGUGGGAUGCGUCUGCCUGACCACACAGCCCUCCUCCAGGUGACAUGCAGCAAGACAGUGCUGUCCAGGUUGCACAGGUGACAGGCGCCUCCACGGAGGCGUCUGUCCCGGACCCUUUCCUGGGUUUCAGGUGGUGCCAGGAAUGUGAGCACCAGAGUGUGCUCUGGCCUCACCAUCACUCACAUGCUCCUGACAAUGACGGAGACACUUAUGUGCCUGUGUCCAGAAAGACUCUGCCAUGUGGGGUCCAUAUUUCCUCCGAGUCCAGCUGUCACUGGGGAGUCUAGGGCCCCACUGAGGGCGGCCAUCCCAGGGCUGCUCUGUGGCCACCCCCAGGGGACAGGACCCAGGCCCAGUUUGGGGCUGACACACUGAGCAAUUCAUGCUCAGUAUCUGGGCUUCAAGUAUGGUAUUUCCAAUCAUAAAAUGUGUCAUUUCAGAAAAUAUAUGUGUCAGUUAAGUGUGCCCUGAGCCUGGACCACAUGGGACAUGGUUGUUCUAAUAAACACGAAUAAGCCAGUUUUCACAUUAGAGAAAUAACAGUUUCUAGUAGAAAGGUGGCACUUUUAAAAGAGGUUAAUUAAUAAACAGCGGGUAAUUGCUCAUGGCACGUUGUGGCAGAGGGUAAUUUUCAUUUUCGAGGAUGGAAGGGCCAACACCCCUCCCCACUCAGCAUUUUUGUGUAAUAAUCACCUUGGCUUCACCUCUGCCUUUAAUUUUUACAGCUGGAGCUGUUUAUCAUCACUCCAACUUUCACUAAAAAGGAAAAACUAUCACUUAAACAAAGCCAUUGAAAACUCAGCAUCGUACAUGGAUUUCUCAACAUAAAUAAAUCCUGCAAACCCGGAGCUGUUCUCUCCGAGUGAUGUCACUCACUGAGGCUGCCUUCCCCAUCAAAUCGGCCGCGAGCUGUUCUCCUUUUGUGUGUGUGCUUUUUGCAAAAUCAGGAAAGCCGUGCUGACCUCCUUGCUGCGCUUUUUUCUCAGCUCUUCCCAGGACACAGAAAGGUCUCUCCCUGGUCGGCCCGGCAGAACCAGAUCUAAAUGGUGAAAACCGUUUCAACUGCACAGACUGUGUUUAAACCCUCUGCUUUGGAGUCAUGAGUUCCGAGUUGAAAGACUGGUAAAGCUUCCCGAAGAAUUUGGGCAGACCUCGGCAGAAGUUGAAGGAUCUCUGGGUCUCUCAGAGCCUACAACAAGCCUGGCUGCAGGCCAGUCACGCUGAAAUGAAUGAGCAACGUGAAAGUCACCAUGGGUGGGUAAAUGAGAUGUGGUCUCUCCGUACCAUGGAGGAGUAUUCAGCCAUAAAAGGAACAAGGUGCUGAUCCGAGCUCCCACAUGAAUGAACCUCGAAAACAUCAUUCUCAGUGAAAGAAGCCAGUCAUAAAAGGCCACAUAUUGUAUGAUUCCAAUUAUAUGAAAUGUCCAGGAUGGGAAAAUCCAGGGAGACAGAAAAUAGAUUAGUGAUCGCCAGAGCUGGGGGCGGGGGGGGGGCAGAAAUAGGGAGGAACUGCUUAAUGCGUACGAGGUUUCCUUCUGGGAAGGUGAGAAGGUUCUGGAACUAGAUCGUGGGGAUGGUUGCACAACAUGGUGAACGUGCUGAAUGCCGCUGAAUUGUACACUUUGAAACGGUGAAUGUUAUGUGAAUUAUAUCUCAAUAAAUCUGUUAUUAAAAAUAUCACUACUGAGCAUGCAUGUUUAAGAAUUUUUAUGCUCACCUGGAAAGCUCUUUUUAAAUUUUGAAAGGAGCACACAGCCAGAAGAGCAUGUCAC
rnacentral:lncRNA from 1 species